rnacentral:lncRNA from 1 species
CUCUAUUACCACUUUCAUAUCCACCACCGAAAGCCCCAUCCGCAACUCUUCUUAUCACAUCAACACAACCACUGACGACGAGAUACUCAUCCACAACUCUUCCGACCACAUCAAAAAUUUCCACACACACAUUGACCAAGAAAGCCACCGAUCCUCAUCCACAACUCUUCCGACCACAUCAAAAAUUUCCACACACACAUUGACCAAGAAAGCCACCGAUCCUCAUCCACAACUCUUCCGACCACAUCAACAAUAUCCACGCACACAUUGACCAAGAGAGCCACCGUCACCUUCAUAACUACC